rnacentral:rRNA from 1 species
GAUGAACGCUGGCGGGAGGCCUAAUACAUGCAAGUCGAGCGGAAAGGUCCUUCGGGAUACUCGAGCGGCGAACGGCUGAGUAACGCGUUGGUAGCUGCCCCAGACUCAGGGAUAACUCACCGAAAGGUGAGCUAAUACCGGAUACCCCAGCAAUGGGAAAGUUUUUCGGUCUGGGAGGCGCCUGCGUUGUAUCACGCUUGUUGGUAAGGUAAUGGCUUACCAAGGCAUUGACGCAUAGCUGGUGUGAGAGCAUGACCAGCCAGAGUGGGACUGAGACACGGCCCACACUCCUACGGGAGGCAGCAGUAAGGAAUCUUCCACAAUGGGCGAAAGCCUGAUGGAGCCAUCCCGCGUGCAGGACGACACCCUUCGGGGCGUAAACUGCUUUUCUGAGGGAAGAAGUUCUGACGGUACCUCAGGAAUAAGUGACGGCUAACUCCG